rnacentral:rRNA from 1 species
UGGGGAAUAUUGCGCAAUGGGCGAAAGCCUGACGCAGCGACGCCGCGUGAGGGAUGACGGCCUUCGGGUUGUAAACCUCUUUCAGUAGGGACGAAGCGCAAGUGACGGUACCUACAGAAGAAGCACCGGCCAACUACGUGCCAGCAGCCGCGGUAAUACGUAGGGUGCAAGCGUUGUCCGGAAUUAUUGGGCGUAAAGAGCUCGUAGGCGGUCUGUCACGUCGGCUGUGAAAACCCGAGGCUCAACCUCGGGCCUGCAGUCGAUACGGGCAAACUAGAGUACUGCAGGGGAGACUGGAAUUCCUGGUGUAGCGGUGAAAUGCGCAGAUAUCAGGAGGAACACCGGUGGCGAAGGCGGGUCUCUGGGCAGUAACUGACGCUGAGGAGCGAAAGCGUGGGGAGCGAACAG